UCUUUUAAUUAAGUGUGAAGUUAGAAUUAUCGUCUUCAACUGACAGGAAGUUAGAAUUAUCGUCUUCAACUGACAGGAAGUUAGAAUUAUCGUCUUCAACUGACAGGAUAAUCAUUAAGAGUAAUCUUUAGUUCACCAUUUACUGCUGGAAGUGUUGAGAAAAACUGGGACUUCUUUUUCAUUCUUCUGACUGUUGGCUGAACAAAGAGUAAUCAAGAAUUAUGUGAACACCAUGAAUAUAACAAAACUAUCACUGCUGUGCAAAUACAUUCCAGGU
rnacentral:lncRNA from 1 species